UUAAACCAAACCAGUUUCAGUAGGCAUGCCAUUUUGAUUCUCUUCGCAUUGUGAUGUCACAAUGUUUAGGCCCUGCACGCGGCUGCUGACUGACAGUCCUGCAGUACCGUAGUUUCCAUGCUCAGCGAUUUGUGUUUGUUUGUACGCUGUCCUUCAUUUUUUUUCCACGCUCAAACAGCUGUAAUGGCAACAAUGCCUCCUAAGCAUUGUAAGACUGAGCAUAAAAGUCUUCCUUUUUCUCCCAACUUCUGAGCUACUGAGGACGCAGUGGAUUACUUUUAUUUUUGAAGGUAAUGUGCCUCAAAAUGUACCAAAAUUUGUUUAUGUCUGCGCAAAUCAUUUCACUUCAAUACAAGGCAGACUUUGCUAAAAUGUUGUUAAUCAAGGAUGGAUCUGUACCAACUGUUCGUGAUCCAGCUUCACCUCCAGAAGAAGCAUCCUCUCACAUUUGCCACAUGAGAAACAGUACGAGAAGUAAUAUUUGAAUAUGACGCAACAGUAUCCCUCAAAUAAGUGUCAUGUUGUUAUAGUGCUAUAACGUUUUAACUGUAUUUGUGUGUGCAUGUGUGUGCAUGGUUUUGUUAAAGUGCAUAGCAAAUGUUAUCAAAGUAUUUGUGUGUGUGUGUGUGUGUUGCUCAUCCGUCAUUGCAAGUGGGCUAUGGACAAUCUAAAUGUACAUACAUGUAUCAAAUAACCAUUCAGAGACAUCCUGGUUCAUUCUCAUAUUUGUUGUGCAGGAAUGUGUAGUAAUGUGCAGCUCAUUUGCAUUUAAAGCAUUAUGCACCAAAUCAGCUAUUUUUUAGACAAGCCCCCAAAAUGACAUUUUCAUGCAUGUUAUAAUAAAUGGUAUGUGGGCUAUUUUGAAAUUAAACUUCACAGACACAUUCGGGGGACACCCAAGACCAAUUUUGCAUAUUGUAAAAAGGGGCAUAUCAGGUACCCUUUAAAAUAAACCCAAUUUUUUUUUUUUUUUAAAGAGAAAUCAGGAUAUUGUUUGGGAAAUCCCAUUAUUUUUUCUUAUUAGCAGUCCUUUCUAAAGCAAGCAGAUAAAAUUCUUCCAUCCUUCCCUACAUGCAUUUUUAUUUUUAUUUUUUUAAUUAAUUUAUUUUUUAAAUAUAUAACAAAUAUACAACUCAUACCCUAUUGCAUACAUAACAUUAUGGUAUUAAAAUAGUUUACAAACAGUAUCUCUGUAAUGGGGGGGGGGGGGGGUCAUGGUUUAGUCAUGGUUCCUGUUUAGUCGUGCUUCCUUUGCCCUCUUGUAUUCCUGGGGCACGUUCAAACUCAAACCGGUGUGCAACGUUUUGCUAUGUUUUCCGGGUUGAACGAAUGUUUCCUGAAAACGGUGUGCAAAGGGGUUUGAGAUACGUUUUCUCUUGUUUGGUGGGUGUGUCAAAAAUGUCAGCCUAAUCAGCAGCAACAUGAAUAUAAAUCACGUGGUAUUAAAGAGACAGCUUGCACAAUGUAAUUAACAUCAAAAUAAAUUCACAAGAGCAAGUAUAUUGUUUGCACGUUUAUUUACAUUAAAGGCAAAAUAACUAUAAUAAUAAGAGCACAAGUAUAGAUCUGGAACAUCUUUAAGUCUGUCUAAAUAUCAUUUAGUAAUUGCAUUGUCUUCUGGUCCAUCCUUUCCUUAGGAAGGUGUGGAAUAAAGCUGCACUUGGGUUCUUUAACUCGCCUUCAGUGGACUGCUUGUUACAAUUUCAUUGUUACAUGUUGAUUUUUUAUUCUGAUUGUUUGCAAUUGAUACCUUAAAUAAAAGGUACCUAAAAUUUUCUGGUUUGUUGAUGAGAGAUGGUAUUGGAGGGACCACAGCCACAGAGCAACACUCUGGCAACCACUCAUAACACUUCAACAUUCUGGCAUGUGUUUUACACAGGUAAGCACCACCCUAAAUCUAUCUUCCCUAUCUUUCUCUUGCUGAAGAGUGUAUUCUACUAACAGGCAGUCAUACCUCCUUAACACCACUGGACAGGCAACUGUCCUAAUGCCUGAAUGUGUUACCUUGAGGAGCAGAAGGAAAAAGUAGUGCACUGUGAAGAGAAUUACAUACAGAAAUAAUUUUUCUUUCUUUUUUAUCUUUUUUUUAUGAAGCAUUAGAUCUGCCAACUUCUCUAACUCAUGUCUGAGUGAGGUAAUAAUCAUUUUGGCAUGCCUGUCAGAUCCCGCUGACACUGAGGGAGAUAGAUCAAGAUACAGUAUUAUUGUAUCUCUUUAUACUCAUGCACUUUCUUUUUCAG
ensembl:lncRNA